GUAGUCAGUCAAACUACUUUAUCUCACACCCGUUCCCAUGCCGAACACGGAAGUUAAGCUCUUCAGCGCCGAUGGUAGUCGGGGGUUUCCCCCUGUGAGAGUAGGACGCCGCCAAGC
rnacentral:rRNA from 1 species